rnacentral:rRNA from 1 species
AUUGAACGCUGGCGGCAGGCCUAACACAUGCAAGUCGAACGGUAGCACAGAGAGCUUGCUCUCGGGUGACGAGUGGCGGACGGGUGAGUAAUGUCUGGGAAACUGCCCGAUGGAGGGGGAUAACUACUGGAAACGGUAGCUAAUACCGCAUAACGUCGCAAGACCAAAGUGGGGGACCUUCGGGCCUCACACCAUAGGAUGCGCCCAGAUGGGAUUAGCUAGUAGGUGGGGUAAUGGCUCACCUAGGCGACGAUCCCUAGCUGGUCUGAGAGGAUGACCAGCCACACUGGAACUGAGACACGGUCCAGACUCCUACGGGAGGCAGCAGUGGGGAAUAUUGCACAAUGGGCGCAAGCCUGAUGCAGCCAUGCCGCGUGUAUGAAGAAGGCCUUCGGGUUGUAAAGUACUUUCAGCGGGGAGGAAGGCGGUGGAGUUAAUAACUUCACCGAUUGACGUUACCCGCAGAAGAAGCACCGGCUAACUCCGUGCCAGCCGCCGCGGUAA